GGAGAAGGAGAAGGCGGUGUUCGAUGUGGAUGCAGCCAGUGCUUUGGUGAAUGAGCUGAGAUGCACUUUCGCUUCUGGUAAGACUCGGAGCUAUGAAUGGAGAGUUACUCAGUUGAAAAAUAUGUUAAAGAUGUGUGAUGAGAACGAGAAAGAGAUCGCCGAGGCUCUUCGCCAGGAUCUUUCCAAGCCUGAACUCGAAUCCGUUGUUUAUGAGAUAGGCAUGCUGAAGAACUCGUGCAGAGUGGCGCUUAAAGAAGUGAAACAUUGGAUUGUGCCAGAAAAGGCAAAGACCUCAUUAACCACUUUUCCAUCAUCGGCUGAAAUUUUGUCAGAACCUCUGGGUGUUGUUUUAAUAAUUUCAGCAUGGAAUUAUCCUUUUUUGUUGUCUCUUGAUCCACUUGUUGGAGCUAUUGCAGCUGGUAAUGCUGUGGUAUUAAAACCAUCAGAAAUUGCUCCAGCCUCAUCCUCAUUGCUUUCAAAACUACUUGUGAAAUAUUUGGAUAGCUCUGCCAUAAGGGUUAUUGAGGGGGCUGUUGCUGAAACGUCUGCCUUGCUGGAGCAAAAGUGGGAAAAAAUAUUUUAUACAGGCAAUGGAAGAGUGGCACGUAUUGUGAUGGCUGCUGCUGCAAAGCACCUGACACCGGUUGUUUUGGAACUUGGGGGAAAAUCUCCUGUUGUCAUUGAUGCAGGCAUCAAUUUACAGGUUGCAACUAGGCGGAUAAUUGCAGGAAAGUGGGGGUGUAACAAUGGACAAGCGUGCGUUUCUCCUGAUUACAUUAUAACAACGAAAGAUUAUGCUCCAGAACUGGUGGAUACACUGAAAAACGAACUAGAGAGAUUUUAUGGAAAGACUCCAUUGGAAUCAAAAGACUUGUCCCGAAUUGUGAAUUCUAACCAUUUUACUCGUUUGACUAAGCUACUGGAUGAGGAUAAGGUUUCUGGUAAUAUUGUCCAUGGAGGUGAAAGAGACAAAGAAAGCCUGAAAAUUGCUCCCACCAUCUUGCUGGAUGUCCCACAAGACUCUCUGAUAAUGAAUGAGGAGAUAUUUGGUCCGUUGCUUCCUAUUAUAUUGGUGAACAAAAUCGAAGAGAGUUUUGAUUUGAUAAACUCAGGAACAAAGCCACUUGCAGCUUAUUUAUUCUCCAAUAAAAAGAAACUCAAGGAACAGUUCGUGAUGUCUGUCUCUGCAGGGGGUCUAGUCAUCAAUGACACUACUGUGCAUCUUGCUGUUGAUACUUUACCAUUUGGAGGUGUUGGGGAGAGUGGAAUGGGUUCAUACCAUGGAAAGUUUUCUUUUGAUGCUUUUAGCCAUAAGAAGGCAGUACUAUAUCGAAGUUUCAUUGGUGAUGCAGCCAUAAGGUAUCCGCCAUAUACCACAGAGAAGGUAAGAUUGAUGAAGGCCUUAAUCGGUGGUGGCAUAUGGAACAUUAUCCAAGCUUUGCUUGGCUGGGGCAAGGCUUGAGAAGAAUAUGUGGUUGUUCGUGUAAGUUUAAGAUACUCGACCCUUGUAAAUUGUUGUUCUUGUACAAUUUAAAUUGGAUUAAGAUUGAUGGGUUGCAACAAUGGAAAAGGAAUGUUGCAUAAGUAUUUAAUAUCUUCUGAUGAGUGUGUUGAUUUGCUCAGAAAUUUGAGAUUAUUUAGACCUGUUGUGGGGUCUAGAUUCAGUCUCUAUUGACCAUCUUUUACAUGUGCUUAUCUACACGAGUGCACA
rnacentral:misc_RNA from 1 species